CGAGGGGAUAGGUUUUCGGACCUAGAGACCGGCGCACGGGUGCGUAACGCGUAUGCAAUCUACCUUUUACAGAGGGAUAGCCCAGAGAAAUUUGGAUUAAUACCUCAUAGCAUUAUGACUCGGCAUCGAGAUGUAAUUAAAGUCACAACGGUAAAAGAUGAGCAUGCGUCCCAUUAGCUUGUUGGUAAGGUAACGGCUUACCAAGGCAACGAUGGGUAGGGGUCCUGAGAGGGAGAUCCCCCACACUGGUACUGAGACACGGACCAGACUCCUACGGGAGGCAGCAGUGAGGAAUAUUGGUCAAUGGGCGCAAGCCUGAACCAGCCAUGCCGCGUGCAGGAUGACGGUCCUAUGGAUUGUAAACUGCUUUUGUACAGGAAGAAACAGUUCUACGUGUAGAACCUUGACGGUACUGUAAGAAUAAGGAUCGGCUAACUCCGUGCCAGCAGCCGCGGUAAUACGGAGGAUCCAAGCGUUAUCCGGAAUCAUUGGGUUUAAAGGGUCCGUAGGCGGUUUUGUAAGUCAGUGGUGAAAGCCCAUCGCUCAACGGUGGAACGGCCAUUGAUACUGCAAGACUUGAAUUAUUGGGAAGUAACUAGAAUAUGUAGUGUAGCGGUGAAAUGCUUAGAGAUUACAUGGAAUACCAAUUGCGAAGGCAGGUUACUACCAAUAUAUUGACGCUGAUGGACGAAAGCGUGGGGAGCGAACAGGAUUAGAUACCCUGGUAGUCCACGCCGUAAACGAUGGAUACUAGCUGUUCGGAGCAAUCUGAGUGGCUAAGCGAAAGU
rnacentral:rRNA from 1 species